rnacentral:rRNA from 1 species
AGAGUUUGAUCCUGGCUCAGAACGAACGCUGGCGGCGUGGAUAAGACAUGCAAGUCGAACGAGAGAAUUGCUAGCUUGCUAAUAAUUCUCUAGUGGCGCACGGGUGAGUAACACGUGAGUAACCUGCCCCCGAGAGCGGGAUAGCCCUGGGAAACUGGGAUUAAUACCGCAUAGUAUCGAAAGAUUAAAGCAGCAAUGCGCUUGGGGAUGGGCUCGCGGCCUAUUAGUUAGUUGGUGAGGUGACGGCUCACCAAGGCGAUGACGGGUAGCCGGUCUGAGAGGAUGUCCGGCCACACUGGAACUGAGACACGGUCCAGACACCUACGGGUGGCAGCAGUCGAGAAUCAUUCACAAUGGGGGAAACCCUGAUGGUGCGACGCCGCGUGGGGGAAUGAAGGUCUUCGGAUUGUAAACCCCUGUCAUGUGGGAGCAAAUUAAAAAGAUAGUACCACAAGAGGAAGAGACGGCUAACUCUGUGCCAGCAGCCGCGGUAAUACAGAGGUCUCAAGCGUUGUUCGGAAUCACUGGGCGUAAAGCGUGCGUAGGCUGUUUCGUAAGUCGUGUGUGAAAGGCGCGGGCUCAACCCGCGGACGGCACAUGAUACUGCGAGACUAGAGUAAUGGAGGGGGAACCGGAAUUCUCGGUGUAGCAGUGAAAUGCGUAGAUAUCGAGAGGAACACUCGUGGCGAAGGCGGGUUCCUGGACAUUAACUGACGCUGAGGCACGAAGGCCAGGGGAGCGAAAGGGAUUAGAUACCCCUGUAGUCCUGGCAGUAAACGGUGCACGCUUGGUGUGCGGGGAAUCGACCCCCUGCGUGCCGGAGCUAACGCGUUAAGCGUGCCGCCUGGGGAGUACGGUCGCAAGAUUAAAACUCAAAGAAAUUGACGGGGACCCGCACAAGCGGUGGAGUAUGUGGCUUAAUUCGAUGCAACGCGAAGAACCUUACCUGGGCUUGACAUGUAAUGAACAACAUGUGAAAGCAUGCGACUCUUCGGAGGCGUUACACAGGUGCUGCAUGGCCGUCGUCAGCUCGUGUCGUGAGAUGUUUGGUUAAGUCCAGCAACGAGCGCACCCCUGUUGCCAGUUACCAGCACGUGAAGGUGGGGACUCUGGCGAGACUGCCCAGAUCAACUGGGAGGAAGGUGGGGACGACGUCAGGUCAGUAUGGCCCUUAUGCCCAGGGCUGCACACGUACUACAAUGCCCAGUACAGAGGGGGCCGAAGCCGCGAGGCGGAGGAAAUCCUGAAAACUGGGCCCAGUUCGGACUGUAGGCUGCAACCCGCCUACACGAAGCCGGAAUCGCUAGUAAUGGCGCAUCAGCUACGGCGCCGUGAAUACGUUCCCGGGUCUUGUACUCACCGCCCGUCA